rnacentral:snRNA from 1 species
AUCUCUCAGGGCCUUUUGGCUAAGAUCAAGUGUAGUAUCUGUUCUUAUCAGUUUGAAAUACUUUAAAUAAUAACAUGUUCUGAGAAAAAUUUGCAUGUGAAAUGUGUUUUGAAAGCCUUCAGUGACCACUCUAU